rnacentral:tRNA from 1 species
GCUCAGUAGGUUAGGCAUCUGACUUUUGAUUUCAACUCAGAUCAUGAUCUCACAGUUUGUGGGAUCAAACCCCACACUGGGCU